ACGGAGGGUGCAAGCGUUGUUCGGAAUUACUGGGCGUAAAGGGCAUGCAGGCGGUUUGUUAAGUCAGAUGUGAAAUCCCCGGGCUUAACCCGGGAACUGCAUUUGAUACUGGUAAGCUUGAGUUUUGGAGAGGGAGGUAGAAUUCCAGGUGUAGCGGUGAAAUGCGUAGAGAUCGGGAGGAAUACCAGUGGCGAAGGCGCCCUCCUGGACAGAAACUGACGCUGAGAUGCGAAAGCGUGGGGAGCAAACAG
rnacentral:rRNA from 1 species